CGCCCGCACUGCGACACACCUCUCUCUCUCUUAUCCUUUUCUCCGUUCCCCACCCUCGCGCAUGGGACAGAGGGAGAGAGCUCUUGCGAAGACGGCCAGGCGGUCGGCGACGAGCCAGUCGGCGAUAAGAUGACCUGCGCCGUACCCAAGUGUGCGAUGCCUGGGAGAGGAGGCGUAGGCGGCGGAGACGAGGAGCGGGAGGAGGCAUGCGGCGAUGCCGUGAUUCGAAUCUUCGACGGUGGCGGACGGAGGCAGUACUCGGCGACGAUGCUGGUGCGCAGCGCCGUGUUGGCGGUGGCGGAGAUAGCCUAGCGCGCGUGGUGGUUGCCGGUCACCGUGGCCGAGGUGCUGGGCGGUGGAGAUUUGUGGGCUCGUCGUCCCCGCCGGCCGUCGCGCCGCCGCCGGUCUAAUAGGCCGCCUCCCGCGUGCCCUCCACUUGAAGCCAUCGAUGCGUCUAGAGGAGCCAUCGAAGCGUGGAGCCAUCAGGCUGCACGAGGAGGCAUCAGGCUGCCCGUUGUUGCGUCUAGAGGAGCAGAGGCACUCCGCGGUUGCCGCACGAGGAGCGUCCGCGGUGGCCGAGCAUGGAGGAGCAUCGGUGCGUCAACAUCGUCUUCGCCGUUUCCUGCUCCGUCGCCGCGCAUGGAAGAGCACGCGUCAUCAGUCCUUCGUCGGCCGUCAGUGCUUCUCCUCCCUCUCAGUACAGAUCAUUUUUUAGCGUUUGUUUGCUGCUGCUAUGCUUAUGCAUUUUGCUGCUCUAGAAUGCUCAGUUUACUAGAUCGAGCUUACCACUAUAUUCAGCGUGUCUCCUUCAGAUGUACUAAUUUGCACACUUGUGCCAAGUUGCCAUGUUUAUUCAGUGAUUUAAUUUGACAUAUCACCUAAAUUGUUUGCCUUGUCAACUUCUUCUUUUUUGCCAUGGUUAAUUUAGUGAUGCUGCUGCUACUGUAAUCAAACAAUCGAUUGGUCAACAAAUCAUUUUUCUGAUCUGCCAUGAUUUUGUCUUUUCUUUAGGGUACAAUUACAGUUUUUUAGAUAAUUGCCAUGCUUUUUUCUUUUUAUUUUGUUACAUUUACAUUUUUACAUAACUUGUCAUGCUUCUAUGUAGGAAUACAACAGUUUUUCGCAAAUUUGCCAUGUGUGCAGUACAAAUUAUUCAAACUUUUUUGAAAUGAUCAUUGUAAUAUUUUUUUUACGAAACUACGACGUGUUUUUGCCAUGGCAAGUUAACAUGUAUUGUCAUGGUAAAUUUUGGGACCAUCGUCACAUGACAAAUGUAUUUUUUCCCUUCUCUAAAGCAUGGGCACAUGGCAAAUUCUAAAACAUGGCAAUUAUGGAAGUUUAUCAAUCAUGGCAAACUUGCCAUUCUUCAAAAAAAAUGUCACAAUCUUCAUCAAAUGUAUGUUAUUUUUUAUUUUCCUCUAACAUGGCAAAUUUAUUACAUGGACCAUGUUAAAAUGUUUAAUGGAUCAUGGCAAGUCUAGUUCAAGCACCAUGGCAACUUAACUAUAUUAUAGUUUACGAACUACGAUGUGUCUUGCCAUGGCAACUUAAAAUGUAUUGGCAUGGUAGAUUCUUUAGGACCAUCUUCACAUUUGCAAAUGCACUUUUUCUCUUAUUUUAAACAUGGCAAAUUAUGGACGUUUCUCAAUCAUGGCAAACUUGCCAUCCAUCAAUUUCUUUUCUUUUUUGCCACUAUUUUCUUCCAAC
rnacentral:rRNA from 1 species